rnacentral:rRNA from 1 species
GACGAACGCUGGCGGCGUGCUUAACACAUGCAAGUCGAACGGAAAGGCCCUGCUUGCAGGGUACUCGAGUGGCGAACGGGUGAGUAACACGUGGGUGAUCUGCCCUGCACUUCGGGAUAAGCCUGGGAAACUGGGUCUAAUUCCGGCUAGGAGCCAUUUUUAGUGUGAUGGUUGGAAAGUUUUUUCGGUGUAGGAUGAGCUCGCGGCCUAUCAGCUUGUUGGUGGGGUAAUGGCCUACCAAGGCGGCGACGGGUAGCCGGCCUGAGAGGGUGGACGGCCACAUUGGGACUGAGAUACGGCCCAGACUCCUACGGGAGGCAGCAGUGGGGAAUAUUGCACAAUGGGCGCAAGCCUGAUGCAGCGACGCCGCGUGGGGGAUGACGGCCUUCGGGUUGUAAACUCAUUUCGCUAGGGACGAAGCUUUUUGUGACGGUACCUAGAUAAGAAGCACCGGCUAACUACGUG